GGUCCCGUAGCUCAGGUGGAUAGAGCACCAGAUUCCUAAUCUGGGGGUCACAGGUUCAAAUCCUGUCGGGAUCACCA
rnacentral:tRNA from 1 species